GUGCUUAACACAUGCAAGUCGAACGAUGAACCUGGAGCUUGCUCUAGGGAAUUAGUGGCGAACGGGUGAGUAACACGUGAGUAACCUGCCCUUGACUCUGGGAUAACCUCCGGAAACGGAAGCUAAUACCGGAUACGACGUACGGAGGCAUCUCCUGUACGUGGAAAGAACUUCGGUCAAGGAUGGACUCGCGGCCUAUCAGGUAGUUGGUGAGGUAACGGCCCACCAAGCCUACAACGGGUAGCCGGCCUGAGAGGGUGACCGGCCACACUGGGACUGAGACACGGCCCAGACUCCUACGGGAGGCAGCAGUGGGGAAUAUUGCACAAUGGGCGCAAGCCUGAUGCACCAACGCCGCGUGAGGGAUGACGGCCUUCGGGUUGUAAACCUCUUUUAGUAGGGAAGAAGCGAAAGUGACGGUACCUGCAGAAAAAGCACCGGCUAACUACGUGCCAGCAGCCGCGGUAAUACGUAGGGUGCGAGCGUUGUCCGGAAUUAUUGGGCGUAAAGAGCUCGUAGGCGGUCUGUCGCGUCUGCUGUGAAAACCCGAGGCUCAACCUCGGGCCUGCAGUGGGUACGGGCAGACUAGAGUGCGGUAGGGGAGAAUGGAAUUCCUGGUGUAGCGGUGGAAUGCGCAGAUAUCAGGAGGAACACCGAUGGCGAAGGCAGUUCUCUGGGCCGUAACUGACGCUGAGGAGCGAAAGCGUGGGGAGCGAACAGGAUUAGAUACCCUGGUAGUCCACGCCGUAAACGUUGGGCGCUAGAUGUGGGGACCAUUCCACGGUUUCCGUGUCGCAGCUAACGCAUUAAGCGCCCCGCCUGGGGAGUACGGCCGCAAGGCUAAAACUCAAAGGAAUUGACGGGGGCCCGCACAAGCGGCGGAGCAUGCGGAUUAAUUCGAUGCAACGCGAAGAACCUUACCAAGGCUUGACAUACACGAGAACGGGCCAGAAAUGGUCAACUCUUUGGACACUCGUGAACAGGUGGUGCAUGGUUGUCGUCAGCUCGUGUCGUGAGAUGUUGGGUUAAGUCCCGCAACGAGCGCAACCCUCGUUCUAUGUUGCCAGCGCGUAAUGGCGGGAACUCAUAGGAGACUGCCGGGGUCAACUCGGAGGAAGGUGGGGAUGACGUCAAAUCAUCAUGCCCCUUAUGUCUUGGGCUUCACGC
rnacentral:rRNA from 1 species